UACGAAGGGGGCUAGCGUUGUUCGGAAUUACUGGGCGUAAAGCGCACGUAGGCGGCGCGGUAAGUCGGGUGUGAAAUCUCGGAGCUUAACUCCGAAACUGCAUUCGAUACUGCCGUGCUUGAGGACUGGAGAGGAGACUGGAAUUUACGGUGUAGCGGUGAAAUGCGUAGAUAUCGUAAGGAAGACCAGUGGCGAAGGCGGGUCUCUGGACAGUUCCUGACGCUGAGGCACGAAGGCCAGGGGAGCAAACGGG
rnacentral:rRNA from 1 species